ACGAUCAUGAAGUGCAUAACCCCACCCCUCUGUCAGAAGAGUGUAUAGUGUUGUGUUUAGUUUGAGUGUGUUCAGACUGUGAGGAUGGGAGCCUCUCUUCUCUGGACUCUGCGCUCCAUCUUGUUUUGUGUCGCCGUCUGCAAACACACAACAGUUACAGGAGACAGAGUCACUCUACAUGUUCCUCAACAGUCUGUGUAUCUGGAGGACACAGUGUAUAUGAAGUGCUCAGCUCAUGGUGAAAAACAACUGAAGUUUUACAAAGAUGGGACACUUGUACAAAAGGACUCACGACAUGAGCUGCACCAACAAUCAAACUUUGCAGAUCUGAUGGAUUUCUCCAGUGUCAGAAUCAGAUGAGGGUCUGUACUCCUGUGGGGUCAGUGAGGAACAACAGUCAAACACCUGGAGACUCUCAGUAACACAAAAACAACGAACUGUCACUGUGAGACCAUCGUCCUCAGUUAUCCCAGUAGGGGGCAGUGUGACUCUGAGCUGUGACAUAGAGGAGUUUACAGGGACAUACACAUGGUUCUACAGAGAUAUUUAUGAUCAAACUGAAA